AGUGAACGCUGGCGGUAGGCCUAACACAUGCAAGUCGAACGGCAGCACAGUAAGAGCUUGCUCUUACGGGUGGCGAGUGGCGGACGGGUGAGGAAUACAUCGGAAUCUACUUUUUCGUGGGGGAUAACGUAGGGAAACUUACGCUAAUACCGCAUACGACCUACGGGUGAAAGCAGGGGAUCUUCGGACCUUGCGCGAUUGAAUGAGCCGAUGUCGGAUUAGCUAGUUGGCGGGGUAAAGGCCCACCAAGGCGACGAUCCGUAGCUGGUCUGAGAGGAUGAUCAGCCACACUGGAACUGAGACACGGUCCAGACUACUACGGGAGGCAGCAGUGGGGAAUAUUGGACAAUGGGCGCAAGCCUGAUCCAGCCAUACCGCGUGGGUGAAGAAGGCCUUCGGGUUGUAAAGCCCUUUUGUUUGGAAAGAAAAGCAGCAGGUUAAUACCCCGCUGUUCUGACGGUACCCAAAGAAUAAGCACCGGCUAACUUCGUG
rnacentral:rRNA from 1 species